rnacentral:rRNA from 1 species
AGAGUUUGAUCAUGGCUCAGAUUGAACGCUGGCGGCAUGCUUAAUACAUGCAAGUCGAACGGUAACAGAUUCUUCGGAAUGCGGACGAGUGGCGGACGGGUGAGUAAUACAUAGGAAUCUGCCCAUGUAGUGGGGGACAACUUGGGGAAACUCAAGCUAAUACCGCAUAAUUCCUACGGGAUAAAGAGGGCCACUGCUUGCAAGCUCUUGCUACUGGAUGAGCCUAUGUCGGAUUAGUUAGUUGGUAAGGUAAUGGCUUACCAAGACAGCGAUCCGUAGCUGGUUUGAGAGGAUGAUCAGCCACACUGGGACUGAGACACGGCCCAGACUCCUACGGGAGGCAGCAGUAGGGAGUAUUGGACAAUGGGCGCAAGCCUGAUCCAGCAAUGCCGCGUGUGUGAAGAAGGCCUGCGGGUUGUAAAGCACUUUCAAUUGGGAAGAAAGAUUAUGAGUUAAUACCUUAUAAUAUUGACG